GUACUCGCUUAGGCAGCACGUACACUAAAACUGGAAUGAUACAGAGAAGAUUAGUAUGGCCCCUGUGCAAAGACGACAUGCAAAUUCUUGAAGCGUUUCAUAUUUAA
rnacentral:snRNA from 1 species